CUUGUUAAUAUUUUAAUGAUGUCAAGCCGACUUAGAUAAUAAACUCUUACUUUGGGUAUGAGAAAAAACGUUGUUUUCGUUAUAAUUUGUAUUGUAAGUUAUACUACCGAUUCGUAGUGACUGAUGAAAUUGGACAACAUCAGUAGGUGCAAGGUCCCUCGCGUAAAAUGAGCUCGAUCGGUCAAAAAUGUGCGUUUACCAUGGAGUCGAAAUAUUUCUGUAAACAUCUGGUCGCAAAAUAAAACAACAACUACUCGCAGCGGCUACCUUCAAGUAUAUACAGACAUUGGAACGAAAAAAACGGAAACCACAAUAUUAUUUGGUUUUAAAAAAAAUGGUAAAACGACGUUAAACUGAAUGUGAUCAAUAUGGAUUGGAUAGAAUUACAUUUACAGGCAUUUAAGAUGUAGACGUAUAUGAAUAUGAAUCGCAGAUAAUGUUAUAAAAAAACAUAUAAUGGACAAAUUAAAAUAACUAGAAGAAUUUCCAAAAUGUUGUGAAUAGACUCGAUAAUUAUUAUAAACUGUAAAACUAUACGAUAAACUGACAUUUUGUUUUUACACCACUGCGAAACGUUAAAAUGUGGAAAAGCCCUUUUGGCUGCGUUGUGUAAUAGAAUUAUAAUUUAAGAGUUCGCGACACGAACGUACGGCGGCUGAACAUAUUAUGAUUUUCAACUCUGAGUGCGGUUCGAUAUGCAAUAAGAGACGGCUACGACGGUUGGGAAGA